rnacentral:rRNA from 1 species
GUGACUGCGUACCUUUUGUAUAAUGGGUCAGCGACUUAUAUUCUGUAGCAAGGUUAACCGAAUAGGGGAGCCGGAGGGAAACCGAGUCUUAAUUGGGCGUUAAGUUGCAGGGUAUAGACCCGAAACCCGGUGAUCUAGCCAUGGGCAGGUUGAAGGUUGGGUAACACUAACUGGAGGACCGAACCGACUAAUGUUGAAAAAUUAGCGGAUGACCUGUGGCUGGGGGUGAAAGGCCAAUCAAACCGGGAGAUAGCUGGUUCUCCCCGAAAGCUAUUUAGGUAGCGCCUCGUGAAUUCAUCUCCGGGGGUAGAGCACUGUUUCGGCUAGGGGGCCAUCCCGGCUUACCAACCCGAUGCAAACUGCGAAUACCGGAGAAUGUUAUCACGGGAGACACACGGCGGGUGCUAACGUCCGUCGUGAAGAGGGAAACAACCCAGACCGCCAGCUAAGGUCCCAAAGUCAUGGUUAAGUGGGAAACGAUGUGGGAAGGCCCAGACAGCCAGGAUGUUGGCUUAGAAGCAGCCAUCAUUUAAAGAAAGCGUAAUAGCUCACUGGUCGAGUCGGCCUGCGCGGAAGAUGUAACGGGGCUAAACCAUGCACCGAAGCUGCGGCAGCGACGCUUAUGCGUUGUUGGGUAGGGGAGCGUUCUGUAAGCCUGUGAAGNAGUCGGCCUGCGCGGAAGAUGUAACGGGGCUAAACCAUGCACCGAAGCUGCGGCAGCGAACGUAUCACCCAAGACAACUUUACGGAGUUGACGAUUGACGGAGCGAAGCGACGUCAAAGCGUUCAUUAAAGUCGAGUUGGCUUAGGGAUACGUUCGUUGGGUAGGGGAGCGUUCUGUAAGCCUGCGAAGGUGGCCUGUGAGGGUUGCUGGAGGUAUCAGAAGUGCGAAUGCUGACAU